CGUCGCAGAAGGCGACGAGAAUGUGGAAAUAAAAAUAAGAAAAAGGGGAAACAACAAGAAAAGUGCGAGAGAUAAUCAGAAGACGGGAGAAUUCUGUGGAUCACCAUUCGGAUGCGCUGAUCCAUAAAAGUGUCGCCGUGAUCCAGACGAUUUCGGAAACCCUCCGCGACCGGGAGGUGGCGGUCGCGAAUCAGGAGAGAGAGGUAACAAAGCGAGAGACCCUUCUUCUACGGGCCGUCAUUGGUGAAGACCUCCAGGAGGAGUCGGCGGCAGAGGAGGCGGAGGAGGAGGUGGGCGCGAGAGUGGACCAGGGGAGGGAAGUCGCCGCGGAGGGGCGAGUCGUCCACAGGUCACCAGAAAAUAAUUAUAUCACCGUCGUCGCAGAAGGCGACGAGAAUGUGGAAAUAAAAAUAAGAAAAAGGGGAAACAACAAGAAAAGUGCGAGAGAUAAUCAGAAGACGGGAGAAUUCUGUGGAUCACCAUUCGGAUGCGCUGAUCCAUAAAAGUGUCGCCGUGAUCCAGACGAUUUCGGAAACCCUCCGCGACCGGGAGGUGGCGGUCGCGAAUCAGGAGAGAGAGGUAACAAAGCGAGAGACCCUUCUUCUACGGGCCGUCAUUGGUGAAGACCUCCAGGAGGAGUCGGCGGCAGAGGAGGCGGAGGAGGAGGUGGGCGCGAGAGUGGACCAGGGGAGGGAAGUCGCCGCGGAGGGGCGAGUCGUCCACAGGUCACCAGAAAAUAAUUAUAUCACCGUCGUCGCAGAAGGCGACGAGAAUGUGGAAAUAAAAAUAAGAAAAAGGGGAAACAACAAGAAAAGUGCGAGAGAUAAUCAGAAGACGGGAGAAUUCUGUGGAUCACCAUUCGGAUGCGCUGAUCCAUAAAAGUGUCGCCGUGAUCCAGACAAUUUCGGAAACCCUCCGCGACCGGGAGGUGGCGGUCGCGAAUCAGGAGAGAGAGGUAACAAAGCGAGAGACCCUUCUUCUACGGGCCGUCAUUGGUGAAGACCUCCAGGAGGAGUCGGCGGCAGAGGAGGCGGAGGAGGAGGUGGGCGCGAGAGUGGACCAGGGGAGGGAAGUCGCCGCGGAGGGGCGAGUCGUCCACAGGUCACCAGAAAAUAAUUAUAUCACCGUCGUCGCAGAAGGCGACGAGAAUGUGGAAAUAAAAAUAAGAAAAAGGGGAAACAACAAGAAAAGUGCGAGAGAUAAUCAGAAGACGGGAGAAUUCUGUGGAUCACCAUUCGGAUGCGCUGAUCCAUAAAAGUGUCGCCGUGAUCCAGACGAUUUCGGAAACCCUCCGCGACCGGGAGGUGGCGGUCGCGAAUCAGGAGAGAGAGGUAACAAAGCGAGAGACCCUUCUUCUACGGGCCGUCAUUGGUGAAGACCUCCAGGA
rnacentral:lncRNA from 1 species